UUCACCCUGGUUUUUUUACAUCAUCCUUUACCACGCACACGCACAAAAAAACCCGAUUGACCCCAUCUGCUCUAUCCCUAAACCGCUCUCGUCUCCCUCCCUAGGACGCAGCCGCCCACCGAAUCAAAUCCCGCCGCCGGGCUUGUCCCCCUCGCCGUGGCCGAUGAACGUGUCUGACGCGCCUGCAUCCCUCUCCAAACGACGGCGAUGAUGGAGGGAGCAGCUCGCGCUGGCCAGCCUCCCGACCGAUGGACGCACCGAGUCGUCACUCCUCGUGGCCAGCCCCUCCCGUUCAUCGCAUCUCUCCCUGACUCAGUCUCCUCCACGAGCUGCACGGUGUGCAUCCCUCCUCCCCGCAUGCUUCUCUUCUCCUAAUGCCGUCUCCUUCUGUAGCGCCGCCCCACACCACGGACGCCCUUGCAGGCUACAUCUCCCCGUCCCGAUCCUUCUCUCCAUGCGCCGCCACUCGCAUGACGCCACCUCCCAACAGUCUCCACCAGCACCGCGACGGGCGUGGCCUCCACACGCGCCGUCACCUCCCUUCCAAAUCCGGCCGUCGUCGAGGGCAUACCCAUCCAGUAGUGCGCCGUCACCUCCCCCGCAGAUCCAGCCGUCGUCAAGGGUGUAUCCAUCCAGCAACAUGCCGUCAUCCCAAUCAUCACCGUCCGCGGCGUCAUCGCCCAUGCCCAUUCAGGGGCUGCCAAGACCUCCAUGAUCUCCCUCUUCGUCUGCCAGGUCAUUGAGACCAACGUCCAUGAAACUUGUCUCAUUCGUGGAGAUUCAUUCAUGUGUCGGACCACAUGUGUACAGGUGAUUUCCGCAUAGCUUUUGUGUAUGGUGGCCGGAGGACCAACUGCAACCUCGCCUGCCUCAGGGUCCAGAGGUCUGAGGCACCACAACCAACUGCCUCUACAUCCAUAUGCUGGAAAUUUACUUUGAUUGUUAGUCGUUGACCAUGAGCAAGAAUUUGUCAAUUAAUUUGAUGCUUCAGUUAACUUGUAAUUUGCUAAAUUACUAUUGGUUAAGCACCGUGCAUGUCUUUGUUUGAUUAUUAGUCGGUGACCAUUAGCAAGAAGUUGUAGGAGGUUAAAAUCAUUUGCCAACUCUCUUUAAAAAAUUGCCAACUUAAUUAAUGAAUCAUGUAGAAUUGUAGACGUAGUGAACAGAUAAUGCAAAGUUCCUGCUAUGACUAAUUUGAAAACUACCAGUGUUACAUAUUUGCUAAGACUAUCUAUGUACCUGUCUAAUGCCCUUUCUGAUGUUUCUCACUAUCGAGAUUACGCUUUUAAAAAAGUGUUUGUUUUGUUUAGUGUACAUCUAGAACAAAAUCUGUUUUGAUUCCACUCUAGACAAUCUUCAAAGAGAUGCUAAUUCUUCAUGAUUAUUAACUUGACGUCUGAAAUAUUAAUUUCAUCUGUCCUAUUUUGGUUCAUUUUAGUUCGGUGUGGUAAUCUGCAGCAAUCAAGUUAACAAAUCUGAAGUAUUUUAUCAAGGCAACGGUGCAAGUGCUCUUUUGGUGGAAGAUGAAGCUUUUGUUGGGCUUGUGAUGUUUUUUCUGAAGAAGACUGACGAUGGACUCAAAAGACAGAUGGCAUGCGGUAUUUGUGAUAUAGAACUAAAUGAUUCAGGACUGCAGUAGCUCCAGAAAGGAUGGCAUUCUUCAUAUUGUGAUGCAACAUCAUGAUACUAGGUUGUUUCUAUUUGUUCUGAUGCAACUUCUAUAAUGAUUGUAUAUAUAUUAUUCGGAUGAUCAGAUGGGUCUUCUUCUACAUGUUGACUAUUGACGCAAAGGAUUGCAGUUCUUUCUCAACCACUACAUUUGGUUACUCAGAUUGUAAGUUAUUGUGCAUAUCUACUAUCAUCAUACUUUUACUUUCCUUUGUGUUGAUGUAGAGGUACGAACAAAGCUACAAAGUGAGAGUGGCACAUGAUCUAGAUUUUUUACACUCUUCUUGGCAGCCAAUGAAUUAUCUUUAUUUGAAUCCAUAAUUCACCUCUUCGUGCAAAACAGAUGUCGAUCAUGCAUUCUCCCUCUUAAUAGCUCACAAACAGGUUAUGGGUACCAUAUCUUAGCAACACACAUCAGACUGAAACGGACAUUAGAGUGUUACUCCCUCUGUUUGAAAAUGUAGUGUGUUGUUGAACCUUGACCGUAAAUUUCUCUUUGUUGUUACAAAUCAUAAUCAGAAGAAAGUGCUUCUCGACAUGAAUAUAAUGGUGUCUAUUUUGUGUAACGUAAGCUAUAUAUUAGUCGACUAAUUGUUGGUCAAAGCACAAAUUUGGACCGUCAAAAGACGCUUUAUAUUUUGAAAUGGAAGGAGUACCUUUUGGUGCCUCAUUGGUUAUGGUUGUGAUACGUCUUUUGUGCAUUUAUUUGUAAAGGGAGUAGAAACCCAACUUAGAAGCAUAAAGUGACAGAGAAAUACCUGCUGCUACUUAAACAGGUUGGUAUAAGUCUUCUCUAUUUGGUUUCACACGUUACAGUGUAUAAAAAACUGAGCGUGCGUAUAAAGUGGCCUGGAAGAACAUUUGGACACUUUAUAUGUGGUGAAAUUUAGGUUAUUAUCAAUUACUUGCAUGGAAUAGGUAGCAUGCUGCAUUCAUUUUUGUUACUGAGCAAGUAUCGUCAUUUUAUUAAUAAUUCUGGUGUAAUACCGGACAAUGAUGCUUCAUACCAUUAGGACACUCUUGUUGUGUUGCAUGUCAAGAAAAAAGAUGUGGUAUCUCUCCGAGAAGCUGCCUUUUCUUUAAGCUUGUUGUCUUUUCAAAAUCUCAUCUACCUCCGAUUAUGUCUGGACUUGGAUAUGAUUAUGGAAUCAAUCCGGAGGUUGCAUAGAGCUCUGCAGAAUUGCACUACAAUGGGCAAUAUGAAGCCUUGGCUCGAGUUAGGCAUACCAGACUACAAGAAGUACCGGAGGAGAUUUCUCACUCGAGAAGAUCGAUUCAUGGAUGAGUGCAAUGUAAAUCCGUGGCACACUUGACCAAAACCAUCGACAACAUUUUGUGAUGCCCACUGGCCUUCUCCCUAGAAUCCGUCUCUGUCGACUGGAUGCCUAUAACUCCCAAGAGUUGCACUGUCAUUGACUACCAUCAACAACAAACUGCACGCAGCAGUUGAAUAGGAGAAGAGGUGCUGCCAUUAGCCUACCGGUGUCGAAAGUAUUGAGCAGACACAACAUCAUCUGUCGAUGGUUUCGGGAUCUUGCGAUUUUUCAUGUAGUAGGCAAAGGAUGAUGUCUCGUUGUCCUGAUUGUUUGGUAAGAUCAUCGAUGCAAAGAUUUGUUUCAUAUUUCUCUCUUUUACCAAGAAGGGCACACACAUGUAAUCUCAUUUUUUGGUUGUUAGCUAUAGCGGGGUGAUAAAUUUUCUUGUAGUUCUGCGCCUGUGAAAAUGAGGAUAACAUGUAUAUUGUUUGCUAUACUUCCUCGCUGGAAGGCCAUAUUUUCUACUA